UAGAAACAGAUUUUGAGUUAGUUGCAUUGUACAUCUAUAUAUCCAGAAAGAGAAAAAUCUGACUAAAUGAUUAAGCAAACAUGGUUAUCUCUGAGAAUGGGCCUGUAGGGCAAGAUGUGGAAGUGGAAAGCACAGGAAAGUGAAAUAGCUUACAUGAAAAGUUACCCUGUGAAAAUGGCAGAGGAAAGACUUCUCUAAGCUGGGUCUGUCUGUCUAUACAGACUGUGUUCAUUCCCGACACCUGGCUCAGCAGCUGCCUUUCAGAUAACCACUGUAUCUCAAAGGAGCCAAUGAAAAUACUAUGCAAACUCGGGCCACUGAGCUGAAGAGUUGUAGACACACAAGGUGUGUCAUCAGUGUUGUUAGAGGUUCACUUCAAAGUUGUAACCAAAUAAAUGUGUGACACA